rnacentral:lncRNA from 1 species
GGAAAAUGUUUAAAGGAUUUGGUUAAUUCUAAUGCAGAAAUAGCAAUAUUUCACUAGCAGUUGUUCUCUCUGUACUAUGCUCCAGUGAAGGCUGAAUGCCACCUAUAUUCCUACAGCUAGCUUAUGUUCAUAAGUCUUGAUAAACAGCCUUAUUAAACUAAAUAGAAUGAGUAGUAGAUUUAGGUAGUGGCAGGGGAGAAAUGUGUUUCUCUGAUGACCUCUUUGCUCUCAGACCCACGCAGAAGGCACCAGACCAGUGUUUACUGCUCUGGAGUAUGUGAUCACAGAACACAGGGAAAGCUGAUAAAGAUGAAAUUGAUUGUUUGCAAUGAAGGGGAACAGAGGACGAAUGCAUCUAGACCUUAUUUACAAAAAAGGACUGCUAACGGACAUAUGCAGCAAAAUGAACUUGAGACAAAGGGCCUUUCUUCUUUUGUGGAUGUGGUGUUCAUUGGGAUUCACCUGAUGCAAUACUCUGUCAUUAACUCAUCAAAGGGCUGACUCCUUGGAGCCUCAUCAACAGAAAGACAGGAGGAGACCAAAGCAUUGGAAGUUCUUUCUGCGUUGCAAAGCGGAAAAACAGUCCAAUGGAUUAUAUGACAUGGCAGAUCUUGAAAGUACAGCACACAGAGGAAGGAAGGAGUGUCAUAAAUACAAGGGUAUUUGGCUGUUAUUUUUAGAGUUGACUGACAGAUAACCACGUAGCAGUGAUGUGUGUGGGGAGGACUAGUGGAAUAAUGCUGGAGAUGGUUAUAGUCUGAUGUAACUCCUGUGUGAUGACAACUCCCUGGCUUGUAGUUGGUCUUUAUCCCUGACAUGCAAUGUUCUACACGUCAGCUUUCUUUUGUUUUCCAUGGCUUGUUUCUCUUUGCUUUCCACACCAAAAAACAAUGAACUAAUGAAAAUGAUCCUUUUAUGAGAUAAUGAAUGUCAUUUGUAUUUCUACACAUUCCACUUUGAGCAUAGGAGAAAUGCACUGUACGGUUGGGCAAAAUGGUUGCCCACAAAUAGAAGGAAGACAUUUUUUUCUCUUCCCCCCUCCCAAUCCCCCCCCCAAGUGUUUCUUUCCUUUGGAGGAAUGUAAGAGCCUUCUCAGCAUGGGGUUACUCCAUUGUGGGUGGGUCACUGGUGUACAAACUAAAUCCUUUUCCUACUCCCAUUCUCCAGAUCAAGGCUGACACACUUAUAAAAAGGCAGAGCCAAGCUCAAGGGAAGACUUCAAAAGAGAAAUGCAUCCUUUUCUCUGUGAACUCUGUUGCUUUUUGUCUGUGUUCCCAUCGAGGUCUCCUUUCCAGGUAUUAGUCAUGUAGUGCUCUGGGUAACAGUAAAUAAACAGUUUUGUUCUGAGAAUUUCCUAUUGCUG